ACACACAUCAAGACACAUAUUGUUUUACAUUAUUUUUGCCACGUAUUUGUACGCCUCUAUAAACCCAGCCAGUGUUGCCUCGUUGAAAACACUACAAACAUUUUACGGGGCGUUUAGUUCGUCUUACACACCCAGUUAUUACUGCUUCUUGCUCGGUUCUCCAGACCUUCCUGCAAAUUGGGACCCAGCCCGCCCUCCUGGGAGAACCUCUUUACCAUCUUCCUGGUGUGGUCCAUCUCCUCGGGCGGCAGAAGGGGCUCCAGGGCCCGCAGGUAGCCCUGCAGGGUCUGGGCAAGCGGGGGCACUGGCUGGGCGGGCACGGAAGAGCACCAAGCUUCCUGCUGCAACGCCCCUCCCUGGAAUAAGACGAUUUCAUGAAAACAACUUUUGACGAAGUUGAGCCACCACAUAGGCUACUUGACGGUGCUCCAGAGUUAUACUCACCCGAGAAAGCAAAGCCCUGCAUGUUCUUGGUGGUAUUUUUCUCAGAAUCAUCUCACUUAAGACGAAGAGCCAAGCUUGCCUGCAAACUCUUUAGCUAGUUAACUCACUUGGACACCUAGCUAACUAGCGACGUCGAAUCUUAGAUAAAUACCAGACCACUUUCUGAAAAUCUCAAACUGUCAUUGACCAACUCAAAUGAUAGUGUUCGUCUUGGGGCGUGCACACGUUGACGUUACAAAGCACGCCAAAGUAUGAGGUCAGUUUUCCAAAGGCCCGACGAUUUCGUUAACUACCUAUUACUACAUGAUGAAGGUAAACUCACUAA